GUCCUAGUGAGUGCUGGUGCCCGAGGUCUGCAGCUGGCUGUCCACUCAGCUGCUGGCCUCCUCGGCAGAGUGCAGCCACCUCCUGCCACUGUGGAGGGACUCGGAUGAGGACAGGCGUAGAACUAGUCAACAUGGAGCAGAAAAUGGAAGGAACCAGACCCCAGGAACAGAAAACUACUCAAAGCCCAAUUGCGAAGAUGGCGUGGUCCUCUGGUUUGAGCCUUGCGGGAGAGUCUCAUGCAAGGACAAGAACCUGGCUGUUCUUCUCAAGGAGAAGACUUUUCAUAAGCAAGAAGAGUCCACCAACCAAAAACAUUAUAAGAAUUGUAAAAGGGUGUCAGGAAGAGACCUUUUAUCUCUUGGGAGAAGCUUCCCUUGGCACUGUUGUCUGUUGUGAACACAGAGGAGGGUUUUUUAUUUGAUAAGCCUCUCUCAGUAAACUUCUUCAAGGCCUUGUGGUAUUAACAUGAGAAAGUGAGCAUAUAUUUAGCAUUUCUGGAGGAAGCAUGGCCUUCACAAUAAUGCUAAUACUCUCCUAAUGACACACAGCCAGUGUUUUCACAGAGGCCUUAGCAUCUACAAUGUCUCUAUACACAGGUUAGAUAACAAAUGUUUACAGAUGAAGAAACAGAGACAUUGAGUUUUCCAUGGCUUCAGAGAGUGCUGUGGAAUUUAAUUAGAGUCCUGGGCUACCCUCUACUGUGUAAU